rnacentral:tRNA from 1 species
GCUUAAGUCGCACGCCGAGUGGCUUAAGUCGCACGCCUGGAAAGCGUGUUCAGGAUAAUAUCCUGACGGGGGUUCGAAUCCCCCCCUCUCCGCCA